AUGAACGCUGGCGGCGUGCCUCAUCCAUGCAAGUCGAGCGAACGGACGAGAAGCUUGCUUCUCUGAUGUUAGCGGCGGACGGGUGAGUAACACGUGGAUAACCUACCUAUAAGACUGGGAUAACUUCGGGAAACCGGAGCUAAUACCGGAUAAUAUUUUGAACCGCAUGGUUCAAAAGUGAAAGACGGUCUUGCUGUCACUUAUAGAUGGAUCCGCGCUGCAUUAGCUAGUUGGUAAGGUAACGGCUUACCAAGGCAACGAUGCAUAGCCGACCUGAGAGGGUGAUCGGCCACACUGGAACUGAGACACGGUCCAGACUCCUACGGGAGACAGCAGUAGGGAAUCUUCCGCAAUGGGCGAAAGCCUGACGGAGCAACGCCGCGUGAGUGAUGAAGGUCUUCGGAUCGUAAAACUCUGUUAUUAGGGAAGAACAUAUGUGUAAGUAACUGUGCACAUCUUGACGGUACCUAAUCAGAAAGCCACGGCUAACUACGUG
rnacentral:rRNA from 1 species